CAACUGUGCCUCUCAGAGCACCACCAGUACCAGGACCACCACUACCCCCUUCCCCACCAUCCACCUCAGAAGCAGUCCCACCCUGCCACCCGCCAGCCCCUGCCCAGCCCUGGCUUUUUGGAAACGGGUCAGGAUUGGCCUGGAGGAUAUUUGGAAUAGCCUCUCUUCAGUGUUCACAGAGAUGCAACCAGGUCUCUCUCUCAUCACUCAGGCUGGAGUGUGGUGGCGCAGUCACAACUCACUGCACCCUCCAUCUUCUGGGCUCAAGCAAUCCUCCCACCUUAGCCUGCUGAAUAGCUGGGACUACAGACGUGCACCACCAUGCCU
rnacentral:sRNA from 1 species